rnacentral:snRNA from 1 species
AUACUUGUUUUAAUAAAAUUAUUCAAACAGAAAAAAAAAGUAUCUGUUCUGUACCCCAUCGGGGUACUUCGAUAUUAAACUGAUUUUUGGACCUAGAUGGGGUGCCCGGAGCUUGCUCCGCCCUCAUCACGGGUUGCCCUGGUAUUGCAGUACUUCCAGGCGUGGCCCACCCUCA